GUCGAGCACGAGACGAGCUGAUUUGCUGCGGGAGACGCAGGUCAUGAUCUUUGUCCCCGAGGCCCGCUCCGAUGGGCUGAGAUAGAC
rnacentral:sRNA from 1 species